AGCAGCCGCGGUAAUUCCAGCUCCAAUAGCGUAUAUUAAAGUUGUUGCAGUUAAAAAGCUCGUAGUUGAAUUUCGGGGUCAGUAGAUUGGUCAUGCCUCCGGUAUGCACUGGUCUUACUGGCUCCUCCUUCCUGAUGAACCGUAAUGUCAUUAAUUUGGUGUUGCGGGGAGACUGGACUGUUACUUUGAAAAAAUUAGAGUGUUUAAAGCAGGCUAACGCUUGAAUACAUUAGCAUGGAAUAAUGAAAUAGGACGUUCGAUCUUAUUUUGUUGGUUUCUAAGAUUGACGUAAUGAUUAAUAGGGAUAGUUGGGGGCAUUAGUAUUCAAUUGUCAGAGGUGAAAUUCUUGGAUUUAUUGAAGACUAACUACUGCGAAAGCAUUUGCCAAGGAUGUUUUCAUUAAUCAAGAACGAAGGUUAGGGGAUCGAAGACGAUCAGAUACCGUCGUAGUCUUAACCAUAAACUAUGCCGACUAGGGAUCGGAUGAUGUUAAUUUUUAAUGACUCAUUCGGCGUCCG
rnacentral:rRNA from 1 species